rnacentral:rRNA from 1 species
GGCAGCAUGGCGCAGCUGAUGCAGCAACGCCGCGUGAGCGAUGAAGGCCUUCGGGUCGUAAAGCUCUGUCCUAAGGGAAGAACAUUGACGGUACCUUAGGAGGAAGCCCCGGCUAACUACGUGCCACCACCCCCGGUAAUACGUAGGGGGCUA